AACGAACGCUGGCGGCAUGCCUAACACAUGCAAGUCGAACGAGAUCUUCGGGUCUAGUGGCGCACGGGUGCGUAACGCGUGGGAAUCUGCCCUUUGGUUCGGAAUAACAGUUGGAAACGACUGCUAAUACCGGAUGAUGACGAAAGUCCAAAGAUUUAUCGCCAGAGGAGGAGCCCGCGUAGGAUUAGCUAGUUGGUGUGGUAAAGGCGCACCAAGGCGACGAUCCUUAGCUGGUCUGAGAGGAUGAUCAACCACACUGGGACUGAGACACGGCCCAGACUCCUACGGGGGGCAGCAGUGGGGAAUAUUGGACAAUGGGCGAAGGCCUGAUCCAGCAAUGCCGCGUGAGUGAUGAAGGCCUUAGGGUUGUAAAGCUCUUUUACCCGGGAUGAUAAUGACAGUACCGGGAGAAUAAGCUCCGGCUAACUCCGUGCCAGCAGCCGCGGUAA
rnacentral:rRNA from 1 species